GCCUCGUUAGCGCAGUAGGCGGAGCGUCAGUAUCAUAAUCGAAUGUAGAAGUCUGAUUGUCGUGAGUUCGAUCCUUACACGGAGCA
rfam:Nematostella vectensis strain CH2 x CH6 NEMVEscaffold_634_Cont31141, whole genome shotgun sequence.